AACUUACGGCUCAGUAACACGUGGACAGUCUGCCCUAAGGUCAGGUAUAACUCCGGGAAACUGGUGAUAAUCCCUGAUAUGUCAUAGAAACUGGAAUGUUCUGUGAUUAAAAGCUCCGGCGCCUUAGGAUGAAUCUGCGGUCUAUCAGGUUGUAGUGGGUGUAGAGUACCCACUAGCCUACGACGGAUACGGGUUGUGAGAGCAAGAGCCCGGAGAUGGAUUCUGAUACAUGAAUCCAGGCCCUACGGGGCGCAGCAGGCGCGAAAACUUUACAAUGCGGGAAACCGCGAAAAGGGGAUCAGAGU
rnacentral:rRNA from 1 species